rnacentral:rRNA from 1 species
AAGCUCGUAGUUGAAUUUCGGGCUUGGCUGGACGGUCCGCCCUUCGGGUGAGUACUGUCUGUGGUCGGGUCCUACCUUCUGGCGAAGCGUCAUGGCCUUAACCGGCCGUGGCGGGGAACCAGGACUUUUACUGUGAAAAAAUUAGAGUGUUCAAAGCAGGCAAUCGCUUGGAUACAUUAGCAUGGAAUAAUGGAAUAGGACAAUGGUUCUAUUUGUUGGUUUCUAGGACCGUUGUAAUGAUUAAUAGGGAUAGUUGGGGGCAUUAGUAUUCAAUUGUCAGAGGUGAAAUUCUAGGAUUUAUUGAAGACUAACUACUGCGAAAGCAUUUGCCAAGGAUGUUUUCAUUAAUCAAGAACGAAAGUUAGGGGAUCGAAGACGAUCAGAUACCGUCGUAGUCUUAACCAUAAACUAUGCCGACUAGAAAUCGGGCGAUGUUGAAAAAAUGACGCGCUCGGCACCUCAUGGGAAACCAAAGUGUUUGGGUUCCGGGGGGAGUAUGGUCGCAAGGCUGAAACUUAAAGGAAUUGACGGAAGGGCACCACCAGGGGUGGAGCCUGCGGCUUAAUUUGACUCAACACGGGAAAACUCACCAGGUCCAGACAUAGUAAGGAUUGACAGACUGAGAGCUCUUUCUUGAUUCUAUGGGUG